rnacentral:rRNA from 1 species
UACGUAGGGGGCUAGCGUUGUCCGGAAUCAUUGGGCGUAAAGCGCGUGUAGGCGGUCCGGUAAGUCCGCUGUGAAAGUCGGGGGCUCAACCCUCGAAUGCCGGUGGAUACUGUCGGGCUAGAGUGCGGAAGAGGCGAGUGGAAUUCCUGGUGUAGCGGUGGAAUGCGCAGAUAUCAGGAGGAACACCAAUUGCGAAGGCAGCUCGCUGGGACGUUACUGACGCUGAGACGCGAAAGCGUGGGGAGCAAACAGG